rnacentral:rRNA from 1 species
UACGUAGGAUCCGAGCAUUAUCCGGAGUGACUGGGUGUAAAGAGUUGCGUAGGUGGCAUAAUAAGUAGCUAGUGAAAUCUGGUGGCUCAACCAUUCAGACUAUUAGCUAAACUGUUAAGCUCGAGACCGUUAGGGGUAACUGGAAUUUCUAGUGUAGGGUUGAAAUCCGUAGAGAUCAAGAGGAAUACUCAUUGCGAAGGCGACCUGCUAGAACAUAACUGACGCUGAUGCGCGAAAGCGUGGGGAGCAAACAGG